UAGCUCAGUAACACGUGGAUGUCUGCCCUAUGGUGGAGGAUAACCCCGGGAACUGGGGAUAAUACUCCAUAAGUCAGGAGUACUGGAAUGUCUCCUAACUGAUAGUUUCGGCGCCAUAGGAUGAAUCUGCGGCCGAUUAGGUAGUUGUUGGGGUAACGGCCCAACAAGCCCGUAAUCGGUACGGGUUGUGGGAGCAAGAGCCCGGAGAUGGAAUCUGAGACACGAUUCCAGGCCCUACGGGGCGCAGCAGGCGCGAAAACUUUACAAUGCGGAAACUGUGAUAAGGGAACCCCGAGUGCCCGUACACGCGGGCUGUCCCGGUGUUUAAAACACAUCGGAAGAGAGGGCCGGGCAAGACCGGUGCCAGCCGCCGCGGUAAUACCGGCGGCUCGAGUGGUGACCACUUUUAUUGGGCUUAAAGCGUUCGUAGCUUGAUUUGAUAAGUCUCUUGGGAAAUCUCACGGCUUAACUGUGAGGCGUCUAGAGAUACUGGGAAUCUA
rnacentral:rRNA from 1 species